rnacentral:rRNA from 1 species
GACGAACGCUGGCGGCGUGCUUAACACAUGCAAGUCGAGCGGUAAGGCCCUUUCGGGGGUACACGAGCGGCGAACGGGUGAGUAACACGUGGGUGACCUGCCCUCAGCUCUGGGAUAAGCCUGGGAAACCGGGUCUAAUACUGGAUAUGACUCCAUGACGCAUGUUGUGGGGUGGAAAGCCUUGUGCGGCUGAGGAUGGGCCCGCGGCCUAUCAGCUUGUUGGUGGGGUGAGGCCUACCAAGGCGACGACGGGUAGCCGGCCUGAGAGGGCGACCGGGCCA